GUGGGGAAUCUUCCGCAAUGGACGAAAGUCUGACGGAGCAACGCCGCGUGAGUGAUGAAGGUCUUCGGAUUGUAAAGCUCUGUUAAUCGGGACGAAAGAGCCUAGUGUGAAUAAUGCUAGGAAGUGACGGUACCGGAAUAGAAAGCCACGGCUAACUACGUGCCAGCAGCCGCGGUAAUACGUAGGUGGCAAGCGUUGUCCGGAAUUAUUGGGCGUAAAGCGCGCGCAGGCGGAUCUGCCAGUCUGUCUUAAAAGUUCGGGGCUUAACCCCGUGAUGGGAUGGAAACUACAGAUCUAGAGUAUCGGAGAGGAAAGUGGAAUUCCUAGUGUAGCGGUGAAAUGCGUAGAUAUUAGGAAGAACACCAGUGGCGAAGGCGACUUUCUGGACGAAAACUGACGCUGAGGCGCGAAAGCCAGGGGAGCGAACGGGAUUAGAAACCCCGGGUAGUCC
rnacentral:rRNA from 1 species